CUCGCGAGUCAGCGGAAUUGCCACGCAGGUCCUCCCGCCGCGACCGCGAUGGAAGAGCCAUCCGGUUCAGGAGGAGCACAACCGGGCGAGGACGGCCACGGCCAAGAACCGGCCCAUGAGCCCUCCUCCUACGCCUCCUCCAAUGGCGCCCGGAGCGCCGCUGUGCCGCCGCCUCCCCGCGCGACGCCCCUCCACCUCGAGCAGGCCGGAGGCGGCGCCGACGGGUCGGGCUCCGCCGCGGUGGGUGUCGACCGGAGGGGCAACGGGACGCCGCCGCCCAAGGUCAUUCCUUCUCCUCCGUGCUCCGCGACCGCUCGACCCCAAGCUGCUGUCCAGGCGGCCGUCGACAAGGAGAACAGGCGAUGGGCACAGCAGCUCAACUCGCUGCGCGCGGAAGGGGCGAUGCAUAGGAAGGAACAGGAGAAACUAUCACAAGUAAAGGCUGUGGUAAAGGUGAGACCCAAGCAGGACAAACUUUUUUCGAAAAAGGGCGCCAAGCUGGACAAACUACUGCUAGUAAAGGGGAAAUCGGUCCCGAGUCGGCUUAAGAGCAAGAUUUUUCGUACAAAAGGAAGGGGAAUAUGUCCGGAACAUGUGAAGCACCAGACACUUCGCAUAUCUGAAGUCAGAAGGCACUAUAAGCUUACUUCUGACGAGGCAAACCAUCUUGAUGCUUAUUCAGAAUGUAGACCGGUGAUUGGAGAUGGGGAGUGUUUCUACAGGAGCUUCAUAUUUUCGUACCUUGAGCAAGUUAUUGAUAGGCAGGACACACAUGAGGAACACCGUCUCCUUAGAAGAGUGUCUACAGAACGUGCAAAUCUUCAAUGGAACUCUGAGUUUUCCCGAAGCAGAAGAGAGAUGCACAAUUGCUUAACAGUAGUGGCAUACCGUCACAGUUUUACACAAUGUUGGCACAAACUCAAAUUUGAAGCUUAUUGUGAAGCUAACAACCCGAUUGUAACAAUGACCUUAAGAGAAAUUUACUUGCAAAGGAACAACGGCAAUAUAACAGGGAAAUAACAUAAUUUUAUGCUUGUUUGAGCACUGCAACAAUGCACACCUGCUGGUUAUUAUUGUACAGUCACCUCACCAUUCUCGUUCUGUUACUAUGCUAUAGUAUAUGCUUAAUGACUGAAGCUUCUCAGGGAGUUGUCUUAGCUGUGUUCCUUUAUAUCUUGCCAUUGAUCAAUAUUGUGCAUGUAUUAUUGUAACCUAUGGUAUGUAAUGAUUAUCAACUGUGAAUAAUUGAGUUGCUGAUUCUUUCAGGCAUUUAAGGAGCUGAUUGUGAACGUAAUGAAAUGGAAGAGCACGGAAUCAACUAGCAGUCGCCGUAAAGAGAAACUUCUCAAGUUCUUCAGCACAUAUGAUACGACGCAAGACAUUUUUGUUUUCCUCAGAUUACUAGUAGCUAUCCAGAUAUGCUCGCACAGGGAGGUGUAUGAACCGAUUAUACAAGGGCCCGGAGGAAAUUACAGUCUGGAAGUUUGGUGCUUGCAGCACGUCAUUCCAGCUCGUGUGUACGCGGACCAUGUUAUGAUGGUGGCUUUGGCCAGAGCGCUUGAGGUCCCCCUCAGAGUGGAAUCACUCCAACGAGGAUAUGCUCCAGAUAUCUACACUGGUCCUGGAGUUCCCCGUCCGAGCGUGACCCUGCUGUACACGGGUGAUCACUACGACAUCAUCUACCCACGCGCUCCUUCUGCUGAGAGUUCAAGUCACCAGGCUUCCCAGAGAGAACAUCCUGGUGAUCAGAGUUCAAGUCAUCAGGCUUCCCAGAGAAAACAUCCUGGUGAUCAGAGUUCAAGUCAACGGACUUUCUAGAGAGAACAUCCUGCUGAUCAGAGUUCAAGUCAACAGAUUCCGCCGGAUUAAAGUUGAGUUGGGCUGCUGCCGUUGAAUGAGAGUGCUGCUGAGUUUAGUGGUAGAGUAGAUGCGCCGAUGAAGUUGGGGUAGGCAUAGCAUAUACUCCCUCUGUAAACUAAUAUAAGAGCAUUUAGAUCACUACUUUAGUAUUCUAAACGCUCUUAUAUUAGUUUACGGAGGGAGUACUAGUUACUUGUGCAUUCUUCUUCUGUUGGUGAACGUUCUGUGAUCACAUUCGAACUUCUUAAUUGUGUUUUCAAAAUUUGAACAUGGGCAUGAUAUUGGUUGAUUUUUUUUGGUAUGUAAUGGAAUAUUGCUCUUGUUUGGAC
rnacentral:rRNA from 1 species